GCCGGCGUAGCUCAGUAGGUAGAGCAACUGACUUGUAAUCAGUAGGUCGCGGGUUCGAUUCCUGUCGCCGGCUCCA
rnacentral:tRNA from 3 species